ensembl:lncRNA
CAACAUUAAAGGAGCCAAUUAACAGCUAAAAUAAGGACGUUAUUGGCCGGUCAUCUGCGUGUUAACUUCUAAUCAAUUAACAAGAAACUUUAAAACCUCUUGUGGGAUAAACAUUUACUGAAAACACUUUCAAAAGUUUUAUCAGUAAAACUUUACUGAUGCAUUUCAUUUUAAUAUUUUUAAAUCUUGUGGUAGUAAUUGUGUGUGUCUGUUUGUGUAGGUGGCUCCUAUGCUUAUGAGUCUGUUCCCAGGCUGCAGGGUCUCUGAUGUAUUGUCCAGCCCAAAAGGACAAGCGAUCAGAGCUCAGCUGAUGGAAACCAUGCAGGCGUGUAGCUCCUCCUCUGAUCCACAAAGACUGAGUGAGAAGCUCUGCAACAUGACUCUGACUAAUGAGAGUGCAGCGAGCCAAUCAAAAGAGCCAAGUGAAGAAGGAAAGGAGCUGGAGCUGUGUGUGAACAAAGAGGACAUGCAGAUAACUGUGAGGAGCCUCCUGCAGGUCAGCCGUUCAUUCCUGACACUGCAUCGCUAAACCACACUGGGACGUGACACACUACACACCACCUACCAUCCAUCAGUGCAUCUGUAAACAUGAGGGGAUGCAGUGCUGCAGAGCUGGGCUGUUUGGGUUCCACAUCUCAGAAGUGAUAGCAGGAAUACAGAGAGUGGAACAACCAUCAUCAGCUGUAACUCUGUGUUUUCCUGUAAUUUAAAAUUACACAGGAGUUUGAUGAUCGAGAGAAUCAUUUUUAACAGUGCCUGAUGACAAUGUGCUUCCUGAUACAUUGGCUGUAGAUUGAUAUCAGAGUUUAAAAUCCUAGUUUGACUGAUAGCUAGUGCAGAUUUUUGUAUUUGUACUUUUAGUUGUUCCUUCUGCCUUAGCGAAAUCUAUGAGACACAGCGAAGAUAAAUAUCAUGUCAACAAAGCUGAUAUGAAACAACGUGUCAGUUCAUCCCUGCACAAAAUUGUGUAGAACUGUGUUCAUUAAAAUCAAGAAAAGUAUAACGGUUCAUGCGCC